rnacentral:rRNA from 1 species
GCGCGAAAACUUUACAAUGCUGGCAACAGCGAUAAGGGAACCUCGAGUGCCAGGUUACAAAUCUGGCUGUCGAGAUGCCUAAAAAGCAUUUCAUAGCAAGGGCCGGGCAAGACCGGUGCCAGCCGCCGCGGUAACACCGGCGGCUCGAGUGGUAACCGUUAUUAUUGGGUCUAAAGGGUCUAUAGCCGGCCGGAUAAGUCUCUUGAGAAAUCUGGCAGCUUAACUGUCAGGCUUUCAGGAGAUACUGUCUGGCUCGAGGCCGGGAGAGGUGAGAGGUACUUCAGGGGUAGGGGUGAAAUCUUGUAAUCCUUGAAGGGCCACCAGUGGCGAAGGCGUCUCACCAGAACGGACCUGACGGCAAGGGACGAAAGCUAGGGGCACGAACC